rnacentral:rRNA from 1 species
UACGUAGGGUGCGAGCGUUGUCCGGAAUUAUUGGGCGUAAAGGGCUCGUAGGCGGUUCGUCACGUCGGGAGUGAAAACUCGGAGCUUAACUCCGAGCCUGCUUCCGAUACGGGCAGACUAGAGGUAGGCAGGGGAGAGCGGAACUCCUGGUGUAGCGGUGGAAUGCGCAGAUAUCAGGAAGAACACCGGUGGCGAAGGCGGCUCUCUGGGCCGAUACUGACGCUGAGGAGCGAAAGCGUGGGGAGCGAACAGG